GAUCAUGGCUCAGGAUGAACGCUAGCUACAGGCUUAACACAUGCAAGUCGAGGGGCAGCAUGGUCUUAGCUUGCUAAGGCUGAUGGCGACCGGCGCACGGGUGAGUAACGCGUAUCCAACCUGGCCCAUAGUAGGGAACAGCCCGGCGAAAGUCGGAUUAAUGCCCUAUGUUAUCCGUAGACGGCAUCAGAUGCGGAGCAAAGAUUUAUCGCUAUGGGAUGGGGAUGCGUCUGAUUAGGUAGUAGGCGGGGCAACGGCCCACCUAGCCGACGAUCAGUAGGGGUUCUGAGAGGAAGGUCCCCCACAUUAGAACUGAGACACGGUCCAAACUCCUACGGGAGGCAGCAGUGAGGAAUAUUGGUCAAUGGGCGUGAGCCUGAAACCCAGCCAAGUAGCGUGAGGGAAGACGGCCCUACGGGUUGUAAACCUCUUUUGUACGGGAAUAAAGUGCGGGACGUGUCCCGUUUUGUAUGUACCGUAAGAAUAAGGACCGGCUAAUUCCGUGCCAGCAGCUGC
rnacentral:rRNA from 1 species